GAUCAAUUUCUUCGAAAGACUAUUAUUUACUGCGAGGCGUCUGGACGACAAUAUUCUGAACCAUUGUGAGAGUAUGAACAGAAUUUAAAGUGUGCAUGCUUUUAUUUUCAAAAAUUGGAUUACGUUCUUUCGAGAAUGGGACGUCAGUAUCUAUUCAGGCUCGAAUAAUCAGUUAUACGGUUGAUGAAAGUGUUCUUCUUCAGUACACAUUAAUGUGAGCAGAUAUUAAGGCAUGCGUUUUAUGCACUGAGCUCCAGCUAAGCUUGUGACCUUCUAAUCUCUGUUGGAAUAAGCAAGUGGUCAGGCCUGUCAAGGAACUAGCAGUUGUCUGGGAGAAAAGAUAUCCGGAAUUAUAAGUUGCGGCGGUAGUCGGGAAGACACACCAGUCUCACCCACAGGGGUGUAGAUACUAGAUACUAAAUAUGUGACGGAUCCAUUGGCGAAAUUAACGUCUCUCACCCAUAGCGUGUGUUUGGCUAUCACAUCAUUCACUGCCCUGCUACAAAUGAAGCCCCCAGUGAGGACUAUAGUCGCCAUGGAAGGAACGACAUAGAUCGCCAGCAACAUCCACUUUUGAUGAUUUCUUUGAAGUGACCUUUGUGUGACCUUGGACACUGUCACGUGACAUUUGUGUGUCUAUUGUGACUGGAUAUUGCUACUUCAGCUUGGACAUUCAAUUCAAUUCAUGAAUAUUCUGAUCAUGUGAGUCCCCAUUAUGUAUAAAUUCAUUGUACAAAUGUUACAUCCUUUGCUAGCUAGCAUUUAACUUUAAAUUCACUUUGUACCUGGCACCAGUGCAGUUCAGUUCUGUAAACUGUGACUUUGUUUACGUCACAUAUUUCGUAUUUCGUUCAUGUACAAAGCUUUGUAUUACAGUAGACUUCUUUGUCAGCUACUUCUUAUUAUUCUGUUGGUACCAACAACAUCUACGUAGCUACAAGUUCUUUAUUAUAUCAUGUGUUUAGUUUAGUUUAGUUCAGUUUAGUUCUGUUGGGUAUUGUUACGUUUAGCUUAGCUUAGUUUAUUUUUGUAUAGUUUUAUUUAGUUUGCCAUCAGCUUUUAGUUAGUUUACUUAUAUAACGGUACUCAGUGUGUAUGUGUGUAUGAAAAUGGCUUGAUUUCAUUUCUUCUUUCUCUCCUUGUUUAAUCAAAUAAAAGGUAAGCAAAUAAAAUGUAAUUGUAUAAACAACAUGUAAGCUAAACAUGUCUUAAUUUACUGACUGUAUGACGACAUUUUGUUACAAUCAUCCCCUUCCACUACCUCUGUGUUGUCUGUACAUUUAGUAUUUAGUCACUUCCUUGGUUUGUAAAUACACUUUGUAAGUAUUGUAUUUUCAACUUGGGAUUUGUCGUAUGCCUAGCAUUAUAUUCAAGUAUAUGUACACCUUAUCUUGUGUACACUUGUGUUGCGUUUCUUUCUUUUGUACUGCAUGAUAUAACAGGAAUACUGUUUAAACCGGCCUUAAACCUGCCUUACACCAAACUCACUCACUCUUUAUUCCGUGUGACUAUAUUAUUACACUUUGCCGUCACACGUGCUAUGUUGGGAGGGAUUGCCUUUCAGCUUAGUUUGUGUAUUAGUUGUCUGAACUAGACAUUCCACUUGUUUGUCUUUGUUUGCCCUAGUAGUUGGUACAGGUACUCUGCAAUUUAUUUAAACUUGCAUUAUCCACUUCACUACACACGUGUUCAGUAGAUAUUUUCUAUUUACCGUUCCCAUAGCUGUAUUUCUGCACGAUUGCUGCAUGCAUCACAUUGCUUAUUUCAUGCCUUAGCGCAUGGGUCCUCAGUCAUACCCAUAUAGUUACCUGCCAGUGUGACCCUCUAUAUCACAUGGUACUUCCUACACACUCACCACGCGAUUGGUGUUUCACACAUUUGACUUCCUGGUAUCCUUUGAUAUUCCCUGUUUACCUCGUUGGCACAUGGUCUGCUUUUUGAGCAGUUGUGCUUGUUUUCUUUGCCUACUUCUGCCGCAUUCCUUUACCAUGGAGUUCAAGGAUGAGGAGCUGGAAGGCAUGGCCACACUUUUUAAGAAGUUGGGGAUGCAACCGAAGGCUAACACACCUGAUGAUUUUAAAGCCUGGAUCACGGACAUGUAUUCUCGCCAAGGCCCUCUUACCGGGGAAUAUGAAGAGACAACUGGACAUCCUACUCCACCACAGACACAGGAUGUUAAGCCCGUAGCGGUAGCGUACCAUCAGUUCCCUAAGCUGCCAUUGUUUAGUGGCAAUUUUCAGGGCAAGGAUGUCCCAUUUGACCUUUGGACUUACGAAGUGGAUUGUCUCUUGAAGUCAACGAUCUACACAUCAGAUGUCAUGGAUCAGGCCAUCAGACAUUCCUUGAAGGGAGAGGCAGCCAGAGUAGCAAAGAGGUUAGGAUCCAAGGCUUCAAUACAGGAUUAACUGAACAAACUCUACAGUAUGUAUGGAACUGUUCAGCGCAGAGAAGCUCUCGGCUCAGUUUUAUAGCGCUUCUCAGGGUGAAGUUGAAGAUGUUGCUACUUGGGGAUGCCGUUUGGAACACUUGCUUUCCAAAGUCACGGAUCACCACGCUAUUCCUUUUCAAGAACAGGAUGACAUGCUGAGGAAUAUGUUGUGGAGUGGUCUUAGGCCAUCAUUGAAGAAUGUGUCCGGCCAUAAGUUUGAUUCUGUCUCCUCUUUUGAUGGACUUUUGAUUUGAGUAUGACAUGAAGCAAGGAAGGGAUCCAACACCAUCACCUAGGAAUAGGAUUGCUACUGCCAAGAUGGCCUCCGAGUCUGAUACAGUGACUAAGAAAGAUAUUGAUAGUCUGACUUCUGCUAUCCAACAUUUGCAAAGUCAGGUUUCAGAUCUGAAGACCAAGCAACAGGCUAUCACCCCUAGUCAACAGAGGGGCAGACGCCGAGGCAAUCUGUCAUUUACCUCUCAGGAAGUGAUUGCACCACCCCAAGGAGCUAUCCCAUAUGGAUCCUUCUCACCCCACAGCUUGGAUCAAGGACCAGAUGAUAGAGUCUACGCACCACAAGGUAUUGGAGCUACUGCAAACCCUUACUACAGAGGUACAAGAGUAAACCAUAGAGGACAGAGACCUACACUCCCUACAUCUGGUGCACAGAGGAACCCGUAUCCACCACAACCUGAGAAGGAUUAUCCUUAUUCUACUAGUUCUCAGGAAGUUACAUGCUUCAGAUGUGGUUACCCAGGACACAUUGCCAUUGGAUGUCGAGUUCGUCUGGACCAUCUUCGUCGCCCUUUAAACUGGCAAGGGUCUGCGGGCAGGGGUCACCACUAGACUUACUUCAGAACCCCAACAGAGUACCUGAAGGAUUAGUUGGUCAAGCAAAUGAAGAUAACAUCAUGCUUGAUGGUAAGCCAGUUCGAGCUUUACUUGACACAGGGGCCACAGUGUCCAUCAUAUCUGAGUCCUUUUAUGAGGAACAGUUACAGCACAUUGAACUGGAGCCACUCGGUAAUAUUUUGGACAUUGAGUGUGCGGGCGGCGAGACUUUACCAUAUAAGGGGUUUAUUAAAGUGGAUGUAUCCAUCACUGGAGGAGGUGUUGAUGUGGAUGCUGUUCCAUGUUUAUUCCUUAUAGUACCAAGUACCAGAUACAGUGCCCGUGUACCGGUACUUCUAGGAACUAACAUCUUGAACUGCUUAUUGGACAAUUGCCGGAACCAGCAUGGAACUACUUUACACUUAGAUAAUAUAGUUUAUGAAUAGAUACUCUAUUGGGUUCUUACAUCAGUCAGCAGAUCAUUGUACAGUGUAACAACUAAUAUAUGAAUAAGAUGUGUUUGUAAUGUAAACUGGUUUAGUAAUACUGUGAUGUCGAUGAUUGCAUUAUGUAUAUUGUUAAUAUUACUUAUCAUUCCUUUAAUAUGUUUCAGGGUGUAGAUACUAGAUACUACAUAUUAGAUAGAUAAAUAUGUGACCGAUCCAUUGGCGAAAUAAACGUCUGUCACCCAUAGCGUGUGUUUGGCUAUCAAAUCAUUCACUGCCCUGCUGCACAGAUAUCAGGUCCUUUCCUUAAUUCAUACAUCUUAUCUCGUAUAUUUGCACUUGUACAUACAGUCCUUAUCUGGAGCCAUGUAGC